rnacentral:rRNA from 1 species
GUGCCAGCAGCCGCGGUAAUACGUAGGGUGCAAGCGUUGUCCGGAAUUAUUGGGCGUAAAGAGCUCGUAGGCGGUUUGUCGCGUCGGCUGUGAAAACUCGGGGCUCAACCCCGAGCCUGCAGUCGAUACGGGCAGACUAGAGUGCGGUAGGGGAGACUGGAAUUCCUGGUGUAGCGGUGAAAUGCGCAGAUAUCAGGAGGAACACCGGUGGCGAAGGCGGGUCUCUGGGCCGUAACUGACGCUGAGGAGCGAAAGCGUGGGGAGCAAACAGGAUUAGAUACCCCCGUAGUCC